AUGAACGCUAGCGGCAGGCUUAAUACAUGCAAGUCGUGGGGCAGCAUGAGUAGCAAUACCUGAUGGCGACCGGCAAACGGGUGAGGAACACGUACACAACCUUCCUUCCAGCGGGGAAUAGCCCAGAGAAAUUUGGAUUAAUACCCCAUAAUAUAUUUGAUAAGGCAUCUUAUUAAUAUUAAAGCUUCGGCACUUGAUGAUGGGUGUGCGGCUGAUUAGAUAGUUGGCGGGGUAACGGCCCACCAAGUCUACGAUCAGUAGCUGAUGUGAGAGCAUGAUCAGCCACACGGGCACUGAGACACGGGCCCGACUCCUACGGGAGGCAGCAGUAAGGAAUAUUGGACAAUGGACGAAAGUCUGAUCCAGCCAUGCCGCGUGAAGGAUUAAGGUCCUCUGGAUUGUAAACUUCUUUUAUAUGGGACGAAAAAAGGGCAUUCUUGUUCACUUGACGGUACCAUAUGAAUAAGCACCGGCUAACUCCGUG
rnacentral:rRNA from 1 species